GGUUUUGUCAGCAAGGCGAGGGCUUCUGCAUGCGUGUAUUUUCUAGGGACCGUUCAUUAUUUAUACUUGGGGUUGGUACUGAACAGAAGCGAAAAACACUGUAAAUUUUUUAUUUACCCAACCUCAACAAUGGUCAAAAUAAUGUUUACCCAACCCAUGUGUUACUGUACUUCAUAAUAAUUAAACGAACAAGAUUAUGGUGACAGAAAUCAAGUUGCCUAAAUUCUAAAAGCUCACUCACACUCAAGCUCACCGAGUGUGCCAAAGCAAUCACGUUUCCGCUGAUCAAUGAUAGAGUCCUUCCUCUAUCACUGAUGGUCUAUUUUGGUACAGAAUGUAUUGUACACAUUUUUCUUCAUAUUUUCCAAUGCUUGGUAAUUUUGGUUUUAUUUUAUUUUAUUUUAUUUUAUUUUAUUUUAUUUUAUUUUAUUUUAUUUUAUAGCUGACAAACAGCCAUACAUUUUUUUUACCCAACCCAUGAGCUAGUCAAAAACCUGAUUACCCAACCCAUAUCUCUUCGGUACCAACCCCGGGUAUAAAUAAUGAAC